rnacentral:sRNA from 1 species
UUUUUGGUUUUUUUUU